ensembl:lncRNA
CUAGUACCCGUGUGGGGCUGGGUGUCCUGUGGUGUAGCUCGUGUUUUUGUGGUGUACUACUACAAGGGAUGUUUUAUUGUGCUGAUGCAGUCACCAGCACCAGUAUAGAUUUAAUUGUUUUUUAAUUGAGGGUAUUUGAAUCCAUUAGUGCAUCAUGGGGGUAUAAGUUUGUAAUGAUGGUAAUAUGGUUAUUGUAUUACAUUUUAGAACGGUUUGCCGGAUGGAAUAAAUUCAGGACCAUCAUGUAUUUGUUUGGCUGUGCACCUUAAAGGGUGUUGGAUGUUGAUUGCUAGUCGCUGUUCUCGUAUAUUAUUUUUUUUAUGUUUGUUUGUUUGUUUGGUUUUAUGUGAUAGCUGUGAAAGUGACUGCUCCCUGACUUAUUUGUGGUAAUUAAUUUCCUAGCCAGCUUUAGGUGUGGUUGUUUGUUUAUGGUCUUUGUUUGAUGUAUUGGUGGCUGGCUAGUGGAAUUGUUGAUGUAUUUUUUUUUGUCUUUUUUUUCCUUUAUGUAUUUAAUUUAAGCUGUUCUUUACCCUGGAUCAAGCAGCAGGGGGUAUUUUCCCAUCGUGAUCGGUGGAGAACUAGGAGUACAAUGUAACAGAGCCCUUAUAGGUCUUGUGGGUGGAUUUGGUGUUUACUAAUUGUGAACGUGUAUCACAUACUCCAGUUUGUAGUGAAGGGCAUAUGGGGGUUUGCUGUGGUUUUCCUAGAAUGCAGUGAAAUGUCUCCUGUAUAGGUAGCUCAGGUUUCUUUGUAUUGCUAGUUGGUCAAUUUAAGAAACUGUUCCCCCUGUUAGCUGACUCAGUUCAUGUCCUGAAUAUUUUUUAUGGUAUUGUUUAAUAAAGAAUUCGUUUUUUUCUAUGACUUAUUGUCUUUGAUAGAUCUCUUUUUUUUCUGUUUUAUUUGGCCCUUGUAGGUGUUACAGUUGCUGAAAACUCAAAUCUGUGGUUUAUUUAUAAAGACAGCGCCUAUUUAAAAAUCUGUUUCGCCGAUUUCGGAGACGGUCAGCUCCACGUGAUCAGCAGAAGCUCAGAGCUUAUGUAUCCGCCUAGAGCAGUCUCAACUUGGCUAGUCCUUCUGAUAUGUGCCGCUGGCUCUGAUGUCUCUUUAGUGGUUAAACUUAAAAUAUAAUCAGUUUUGUGCAAAUCUAACAGGUUAUCUUUGGUCUUCAUUCAAUUGUGCGACUGACUGCUGUGACAGUUGACGUACAACGCUGCUGACGUGUUAUCUUUGUUAUUGGGCGCACCAGAAAACACGUCAGCAGCAUCAUACGUCAACAGUCACAGCAGUCGCGUUCACAACAGACCCGGAACAGAAGACAAUCCUGAAUAAAGUCAUUUUUGUUAUUUUUGGACCAAAAUGUAUUUUCGAUGCUUCAACAAAUUCUAACGGACCCUCUGAUGUCACAUGGACUACUUUGAUGUUUUUAUUACCUUUCUGGACGUGGACAGUAGGGCUGGACAAUAUAUCGAACGAUAUGAUCAUGCGC